rnacentral:lncRNA from 1 species
AGAUGCCAGCAAUCUGGUGAUGGAUGAGCUCUGGGGUGCACAGGGUGGGCCAGAGGAGAGCUGGUGACUGUGGGGACAGAUGCCCAGGCACACAGGUGUGGGGGUGUGGCUUAGACUGCAGCUGCUACUGUGAGACUUGAGGACAGGCUGCACAUCUCUCUUUCCCUCUAGUGCUGGCCUCUGUGGCAAAAGAGUCUCAAGUCCUUCGUUGGCUGUAGAUUUGAUUUUUAAAAGGGAACAAUCUGACAAAUGGUACUGAAUUUGAACAGCGUUGUUCAUGAAUACCCAAAUGUUUUUUCAUCUGAGGACCACACGAUCUUAUUCAGGGAAGUUGGACUUUUAAGAUGGUUAUGAAUUUUGAAUCAGAGUUUUGUUGUCAGGGGAAUGCUUCUUAGAAGGAAGGAAAUGUACUUUCUAACAAGAUUUUCAGCAAACGUUGGCACAUUCAUUAUGGCCACAGGCAUGGAGGUGGCUCAAAUACAUUUUGCAUAAUGUGGAAAUAAUAUUCGCAUUUGUGUUCAUUCCAAGUCACUCAGAGCCGCCGUGAAAGCCACCAGCACAGAAGAGAACAUGGGUGCUUUUGAUAACAAAAUGUUGGUUGGGGGCAACUGUAUGAAUCUUACCAGUUAUCACAAAGGGCCUUCUCCUUAUGUCUUUCAAUAUUUAGGACUAUCUAGAGUAGCAAGCUCUUUACCUAGUGAGCUAUCCCAGGUAGUCCCCCGUAGCUCAGACUUUUGCUGUAUAAUCCAAGUCAGAUAUUAUGUGUGUCAACACCUGGGUUUUCCUUCUGAGUCUCUCCCUUCAGUACUAAGCUUUCUUUGCUCUACACACACCUGUUCAUGGUAGAUGCCCAACUCACAUUCAGUAUUUCCUGCUGAAGGCUGCAGAAAGUCUGACCAUGAAUCUCAUUUUUCACACUAGAAUUGUGUCUGUUUGCCUUGGGUAUGGGAAGAUAAACAGAGCAGGGAAAGGCAAAGGAACAGAAUGAGAGUUGGCAGGGAGGUGGCAGGGGAGGCUGGUCUGUCCAGGAAUUCUAAUAUGAUAUGACUGAUCUGAGACCAUGGAGUAGGUGGGUAGCAAGGUCUGGUAGCAAAGCAAAAAGUCAAAAUUAGAACUGUACUUAAGAGGAUGAGGCAAUGACUCUCUAGUAACCACAGCAUGGGGAGGCAGAGGCAGGAGGAUGGCGUGCUCAGGUGAGCUUCAUCUACACAGUACAUUCGGGGCCUCAAACAUGAUUCUCUGUCACAACAGACAUAGACCAGCUAUGCUGAAGUAUACAUGGCGUGAAAACAGAUAGGGGACUGUUUGGUAGGGGAGGGGAAUAAUGAGACAGAGUUCAAAGAAGCUAGUAGGGGUGAAUAUGAACAAGACACAGUGGUGUACAUGCUUGAAAAUGUCAUAAUGAAGCAUGUUAUUUUGUCAGCUAACUAAAAAUUAUAUGUCUAUGGAGAUGAGGAUCAAGACAGAGAGAGACUGAGACAUAGAUAUAGAUGGGGAGGAAGGCUAUAUACGAAUCAUUAUAAUAUAUCCAGGACACUGAACUACGGAGAACAAAAAUGAAAUAUGACUUUUGGUUUAACAGUGCUGACACUGAGAAACUGUGACAUAUAUUUUAAAUGAUAUGUGUGUGUGUGAGAGAGAGAGAGAGACAGAGAGAGAGAGAGAGAGAGACAGAGAGAGAGAGAGAGACAGAGAGAGAGACAGAGAGAGAGAGACAGACAGAGAGAGGUGGAGAAGAGGGGGGAAGGGAGGAAGAGAGACAGCCAGUUUUAAAUAUUAACCAGUUACAAUGUAGCCUCACCUAGAGAGAGUCUCAAAUGAAGAGUUCUCUACAUGAGGUUGACCUAUGGUCAUGUCUGUGGGGAUUGUCUUGAUUGCUUUCAUUGAAAUGAGGUGGAAAGACCCACCUGGAAUGGCAAUUUGUGGGCUGUCCCCUGAAUUGCUUAAGUCUGAAGGCAGCAACUAAGCAUAAGAAGCACAAAGGUAAUAUGGGUGCGGGUGUUUCUCUCUGCUCUUGGGGCCGUGGGAAGUGCUCAGCUGUUUUGAGCUCUUGUUCACUGCAGGUCUGGACUGUCACCUGGAAUUAUGAGCCAAGUCAAUGCUUUCCUCCCUUAUGUUCUAUUGAAGCCACGGAAGUGAAACUAUCGCAGGUACAUGGUACAUGGAAUCAUUUUUAGUAUGCUACAAAUUUGUUUGAGGACAAUUAUUUUUCUGCAUCUUAGACCGUAUAGAAAAUAAAAAAUG